rnacentral:rRNA from 1 species
UACGUAGGGUGCGAGCGUUAAUCGGAAUUACUGGGCGUAAAGCGUGCGCAGGCGGUUUGAUAAGACAGGCGUGAAAUCCCCGAGCUUAACUUGGGAAUGGCGCUUGUGACUGUCAGGCUAGAGUAUGUCAGAGGGGGGUAGAAUUCCACGUGUAGCAGUGAAAUGCGUAGAUAUCGGGAGGAACACCUGAGGCGAAGGCGGGCUACUGGGCCGAUACUGACGCUGAUGCGCGAAAGCCAGGGGAGCAAACGGG